rnacentral:rRNA from 1 species
UUUUUUAAACAUCUCACUUUCAAAGUAGAGAUGUUUAUCGGAAGCUAAGCAGGAUCGGGCUUGGUUAGUACUUGGAUGGGAGACCACCUAGGAAGACCAGGUGCUGUAGGCA